CCACUUAACACGCAAGCGUAACCGUAUUCAUGCAUCACUGCUUCAGUAUCGGAUCACGUUACACAUGGCAGCAUUUUGUAGGCUGUUAUGGCAGCAACCCACGCGUCUUCCCAUUCAUGGAUAGUAUUCAGACAGCGCCCUCUUAACUUUAUUUGUUUAUUAUUAUGGGGCGGCAACUCUACAUUUUGAUUUAAAGGCAGAGACAAAAGAAAUAAUAAAGAAGCUCAUGUGCCGUUGUUGCUCUCUAGAUUUUGCAGUUGGGUUGACGACAAAGCAAAACCAGAAGAGGCAUAGGCGCAAUAAGCGGAUCUAAACCCAACCAAACACAGACAGACACAAACACUUCACUCUACUAUUUAUCACCGCCACAAAUCACGUAUGUGCGGUCCUAUGUGGUUGGUUGUCUAAACAUUUAAAAAAAAUUGUUCAUAAACCUGUACACAACAAUUUUUUGAUCUUUCAAAAUUUUAAUAUAAAUUUUGGCGUUUAAAGCUAAUGUAUUAUGAGCUUUAGCCCAUGACCAUAGUAAAGUAAAAUUUACCUACUAAUUAUUAAAUAGUAGGUUGAGAGUCUACUAUAUGUGAUUAUGAAAUAAAUAUUCGGUGGUUAGUUUAGUGGAACAAAACAAAAGAAGUAAAAGGAGUUUUAAUUUUCAAAUGCAUCGCUGGAUUGAGAUUGAAAACAAAAGCUAACCUGAGGCUGAGCCGUAUCGGUUAAAUACAAACAAAACAAAAUGGGGAAAAAAAGCUGACCUGAGCCCUACCAUUUGCUCUUUCUAAUCUUCUUC